AACGAACGCUGGCGGCAUGCCUAACACAUGCAAGUCGAACGACACCUUCGGGUCUAGUGGCGCACGGGUGCGUAACGCGGGGGAACCUGCCCUUAGGUUUGGAAUAACUCCCCGAAAGAGGUGCUAAUACCGGAUAAUGUCUUCGGUCCAAAGAUUUAUCGCAUUUGGAUGGGCCCGCGUCGGAUUAGCUUGUUGGUAGGGUAAAAGCCUACAAAGGCGACGAUCCAUAGCUGGGCAGCGAGGAUGAUCAGACACACUGGGACUGAGACACGGCCCAGACUCCUACAGGAGGCAGCAGUGGGGAAUAUUGGACAAUGGGCGAAAGCCUGAUGCAGCAAGGCCGCGUGAGUGAUGAAGGCCUUAGGGUUGUAAAGCUCUUUUACCCGGGAUGAUAAUGACAGUACCGGGAGAAUAAGCACCGGCUAACUCCGUG
rnacentral:rRNA from 1 species